CAGGGGAAAGCGUGUGACUGUACUUGUAGCCACGAGGCUGUGAGAUGAUGCCCUACUUCCUAGUGCUGAUGAGAAAGACCCAGCUUCUCCCCACGGCUUCCUAAGACGAUGUAACCCCGGCCUAGAGGAGGCGAGGUCUUUCCUGCAUCUACUCUGCCUGUCUCUGCAGCAGAUGCUCUGCACCUUUCUCCUUGCAAAUGCAGGGGGUGUUGGGGAUUUAGCUCAGUGGUUGAGCGCUUGCCUAGCAAGCGCAAAGCCCUGGGUUCGGUCCCCAGCUCCGAAAAAAAAAAAGAAAAAAGAAAAAAAAAUACAGGGGCAGUCACAGUGGACUCACUUGGCUUCCUCCAGCUCCUCCG
rnacentral:sRNA from 1 species